UACGUAGGGGGCAAGCGUUGUCCGGAUUUAUUGGGCGUAAAGAGCGUGUAGGCGGCCAGACAGGUCUGCUGUGAAAACUCGAGGCUCAACCUCGAGACGCCGGUGGAAACCGUAAAGCUAGAGUCCGGAAGAGGAGAGUGGAAUUCCUGGUGUAGCGGUGAAAUGCGCAGAUAUCAGGAGGAACACCCGUGGCGAAAGCGGCUCUCUGGGACGGUACUGACGCUGAGACGCGAAAGCGUGGGGAGCAAACAGG
rnacentral:rRNA from 1 species